rnacentral:rRNA from 1 species
UCGAGAAUUUUUCACAAUGGGGGAAACCCUGAUGGAGCGACGCCGCGUGGAGGAUGAAGGUUUUCGGAUUGUAAACUCCUGUCACUGCAGAGCAAAGCUCUCACGCUAACACCGGGAGAGUCUGAUAGUAUGCAGGGAGGAAGGGACGGCUAACUCUGUGCCAGCAGCCGCGGUAAUACAGAGGUCCCGAGCGUUGUUCGGAUUCACUGGGCGUAAAGGGUGUGUAGGAGGUUUGGUAAGUCAGGUGUGAAAUCCCGCGGCUUAACCGCGGAACUGCAUUCGAUACUGCCGAACUAGAGGCUUGGAGGGGGAAGCGGAAUUCUUGGUGUAGCGGUGAAAUGCGUAGAUAUCAAGAGGAACACCGGUGGCGAAGGCGGCUUCCUGGACAAGUCCUGACUCUGAAACACGAAAGCCAGGGGAGCGAAUGGGAUUAGAUACCCGCGUAGUCC